rnacentral:rRNA from 1 species
UACGGGGGGGGCAAGCGUUGUUCGGAAUUACUGGGCGUAAAGGGCGCGUAGGCGGCCCUUCUAAGUCAGACGUGAAAUCCCUCGGCUCAACCGAGGAACUGCGUCUGAUACUGGAAGGCUUGAAUCCGGGAGAGGGAUGUGGAAUUCCAGGUGUAGCGGUGAAAUGCGUAGAUAUACGUAAGGAAGACCAGUGGCGAAGG